rnacentral:lncRNA from 1 species
AAUGCUGUGCUCGGGAGCUAUACAGAAUGAUUAGGCCACCUUCUUUUUUUCCUGAACCCGAGUAUUCCUCCAACUGGUUAAAACACUAAGUGCCGGGGACACCUGUGUCCCACCCCCGCCUGCGGCCUUCUCCGCCACGCCUUGGGUGAACUGCCAUGACUCUCAGGGUACCCUUGCCAUUUGCCAGUGACUUCUGAACGUGCCCAGUGGAAUGCCCUGGUCUAGACCCAUUUCUGCCUGGAAACCAUUGCUGCUCCCCUUUGGGUCCUCCAGAGCCUGCCUGAGAGAGCUGUCAGUGCUCAGCUUUCAGUGUUAGGGCUACACAGUUGGGGACUUUUGCCAUCUCCCCAGGAAGCCUUUCUAGCCUCCUGGCUCCCAGCCCUGCAGAAUAGGAAGUUGAGGCCGACAGGAUGAAGGUUUAAGAGUGAACAUGCCUGGGCAGAGGCUGGGAAGAUGCUCGGGUGAGGCACCUCAGUAACUCAGGGAACUCUAGCCAAGCUGGGAGGAAGCAGGUGGUUAAUGGGAUUCUAAUCCUGGCUGCGGGGUCCAGGAGGUAUGACCAGCUGAAAUGGCUUCCCCCGGGUGGAUGGAUUUCCCCCCAGACUCUAAGGCAGGUAACUAACUUUGUUCUGAGGCAAGCCUCAGAGCACUCACGUCGUGGGGCCGCAGGCUCCCGUGGCCAGCUCUGGUGGUGGUAGCUCCAGCUGUGUUGGCACACCUCUUUGGGAGUUUCCCACAAAGGCUGGUGCUGUCCUGCACAUCUUCGGUGACAGAUCUCUGUCCCUUGAGUGUCAGCUGGAUUUAUGAAAACUGCCAAAGGUCAGGGGAGCCAAGGUGGGGGUUUUUUGUUUUUUAAUAAUAUCAUGACUAAGCUGAAUGACAGUUGGGGGUCAAAAAUAUGUGAGUUUCCUGAGAUUUUUAUGAAUUCUGAAGUGACAAAGCAGUGUCUAGAGGCAAGUUCCAGAGAGGACUGGGCAAUGGAAGUGAUAAAUAACAUCCACUGAGUGCUUCCUAAAGAGAUGUCCAGCAGUAGACUGAGUGCUCUGCACCUCCUUGCUCACUUAAUCCUCACAGCAACCCUCUGAAGUAGGAAAUAGCAUCACCUGUAUCUUACAGAUGAGGAAACUAAGGAACUUGCCCAAGGUUACAUGUUAGGAGCUGGCAGAGCCAGGAUUUGGGUUCUGGUAGUGACAUUAAUAAACUCAUUCUGAAGAGAUUAAUAGUU